AACGAACGCUGGCGGCAGGCUUAACACAUGCAGGUCGAACGCAUCGCAAGAUGAGUGGCAGACGGGUGAGUAACGCGUGGGAACAUACCCUUUUCUACGGAAUAGCUCUGGGAAACUGGAAUUAAUACCGUAUACGCCCUACGGGGGAAAGAUUUAUCGGGGAAGGAUUGGCCCGCGUUGGAUUAGCUAGUUGGUGGGGUAAAGGCCUACCAAGGCGACGAUCCAUAGCUGGUCUGAGAGGAUGAUCAGCCACAUUGGGACUGAGACACGGCCCAAACUCCUACGGGAGGCAGCAGUGGGGAAUAUUGGACAAUGGGCGCAAGCCUGAUCCAGCCAUGCCGCGUGUGUGAUGAAGGCCUUAGGGUUGUAAAGCACUUUCACCGGAGAAGAUAAUGACGGUAUCCGGAGAAGAAGCCCCGGCUAACUUCGUGCCAGCCGCCGCAGUAAUAC
rnacentral:rRNA from 1 species